rnacentral:tRNA from 1 species
GCCUGGGUGGCUCAGUCGGUUAAGCAUCUGACUCUUGGUUUCAGCUCAGAUCUCUCAGGUUUCGGUUUCGUGGGUUCAAGCCCCACAACGGGCU